GUUGAACGCUGGCGGCGGGCUUAACACAUGCAAGUCGAACGAGUGGCGGACGGGUGAGUAAUGCCUAGGAAUCUGCCUGGUAGAGGGGGAUAACUACUGGAAACGGUCGCUAAUACCGCAUACUAUCAGAUGUGCCCAGUUGGGAUUAGCUAGUUGGUGGGGUAACGGCUCACCAAGGCGACGAUCCGUAACUGGUCUGAGAGGAUGACCAGCCACACUGGAACUGAGACACGGUCCAGACUCCUACGGGAGGCAGCAGUGGGGAAUAUUGCACAAUGGGCGAAAGCCUGAUCCAGCCAUGCCGCGUGUAUGAAGAAGGUCUUCGGGUUGUAAAGCACUUUAAGCUGGGAGGCGUUACCCGCAGAAGAAGCACCGGCUAACUCCGUGCCAGCAGCCGCGGUAAUAC
rnacentral:rRNA from 1 species